AUCCUUUGGUUCAUAAGUGUGAUGAUUGGGUAUUCAUGCCUUAUGCAUGAGAUGUGCCUCCCUCAAACUUUGUUAUGAUGUGGACACAUUACCAGUAUGACA